rnacentral:rRNA from 1 species
AGCAGUAGCCGCGGUAAUACGUAGGUGGCAAGCGUUGUCCGGAAUUAUUGGGCGUAAAGCGCGCGCAGGCGGAUAGGUCAGUCUGUCUUAAAAGUUCGGGGCUUAACCCCGUGAGGGGAUGGAAACUGCUGAUCUAGAGUAUCGGAGAGGAAAGUGGAAUUCCUAGUGUAGCGGUGAAAUGCGUAGAUAUUAGGAAGAACACCAGUGGCGAAGGCGACUUUCUGGACGAAAACUGACGCUGAGGCGCGAAAGCCAGGGGAGCGAACGGGAUUAGAUACCCCCGUAGUCCCUGUCUCUUAUACA